rnacentral:misc_RNA from 1 species
UCGGCGAGGACGACUCUCUCUCAUACCCACAUACAUACACAGUCACUCGCACACUCCGCGGCGCACGUUGAGGAAGCAACCGCCAAAGACGAAAAGCACUAGCAGGGCAGAUUCACUAGACCCGUGUCUCGUGCUGUUGCCCUUGCUUCUAGCUUCUUGUCUUCGGUGGAGACUUGCGUUUCGCUUUGACAUCGAUGAACAAGACGCGAGAGGGUUCUCCAUUUACAGUUUUCUUGCUGGACAGCGUUGUUGAUCUGACCUCCGCCCACCUGCCUUCCCUUCUUUUUUGGUAAGCGUCGCUUCGGAAGUGUCCUUUUUGGCGCUACUCCUCUUUUUCUUCCGUUUUGUAGUUUUGUUUGUUCUCUAGAGUCAGAUGAUGGCAAUAGCGCGCGGCAUGCCGGCAACCACCGCUGUGCAAGCAAACGUGAUGUCUAGGGUGGGCCGCACAGUUCUCGGCUGGCUGGAAAAGUUGAAGGACUCCAUCGCUGACACACCGCUUUACUUCUGGGUUUACAUAGGGGCACUAGUGUGGAUCACUCGGCAGCUCACAAAUCGCACCAGCAAGGCAACUCGCCGCAUUACCGUCGCUGGGAGGCAGGUGCACCUGAACGAGGCCGAAGCCCAAAUGGCCUCCAACGUGGUGGACAUUGACAAGAUCGACGUUGACUUUAGCGACGUGGGCGGGCUGGACGACGUGAAGGAUGCCCUGACAGAGCACAUCAAGUGGCCUUUUCAGCACCAAGAGCUCUUUAGCGGCAAGACGGUACGAUCCCAUCCGAAGGGCGUGCUGCUGUACGGCCCUCCUGGCACUGGCAAAACUCUCCUGGCUCGCGCGCUCGCCAAGGAGCUGGGUUGCUCUUUCAUUAACGUCAACACGGAAUCUAUCUUCUCCAAGUGGGUCGGCGACACGGAGCGCAACGCGGCUGCCGUCUUCACCUUGGCAGCCAAGAUAUCUCCGUGCGUCAUCUUCGUGGACGAGAUCGACUCACUACUCAGUAGCCGUAGUGCCAUGGAUGCAACGCCGCACAUGCACGCCAAGACGAUCUUCAUGACGCACUGGGACGGCCUCGAGAAGGACAGCGACGCCCGCAUAAUUGUCGUCGGCGCCACGAACCGCCGCUUCACCAUCGACGACGCCAUUCGCCGUCGUCUUCCGCUGCAGCUGGAGGUGCCGCCACCCGAUGCGAAGGCACGGGAGAAGAUUCUCAGCAUCCUCCUCGCUCAUGACCUGGAGUACAACCCGAAAAAGGAAGGUCUCAUUCGAUAUGUAGCGCUCAAGACGGCGGAAUACACCGGCUCUGACCUGUCGGAGUUGUGCAAAGCCGCGGCCCUCAUGCCGCUACGUGAGAUGGAGUCAAUGAAGGUCGGUGGUGCUUCCUCUGCCGCGCCAGAGAAGGUCCCGCCGCUAACACAGCAGCACUUUGACAAGGCCAUGGAGCGGGUAAAGGCCUCCAAGUGACGCAGCUUUAGGAUCCUCAGUGGACGCAACCGAAAAACAAAGGGCAAAAGAUGCUGGUGAGCGAGAGGGGCCCUAUUUCUUGCGAAUCAAAACACACACGGCAACUCUCUCCGUGUUACCCUCAAGAGAACGACCCUCGUCAAGCAGUGCUGGACCUUGCAUCAACAGCGACAAGACACGACGUUGGGGACGCGGUCGGUGCCCUUCUUUUAAGUGUCGCACACCGUUCUUUCCGCCGUUUCUCGCGUGUUUUGUUCUCUCUUUUUUCUGGCCUCGGGUGUGAGCUGUGCGUUUUUUCCCUUCACGGUUCACUUAAUUAUUGUUUGUGCUUCUUUUCCUUGUCUGUGGUGUCGUGGUGUGGCGUCUCUGUCUGCGUCCUCGACGAGCUUGGGAGGAGCGGGUGCUCCUUAAAGGGAGAAAGGGGGAUCAGUCAAAGAAUGUGCAGCGAGGGAGCUUUGACAAGGCCUUGUAUCUAUCCCAACGUGUACGUUCCGUUUUGUUGUUGUUGUCUUGUCUCUCCGUAGCUCACUCACAGUGCGCGUUCGCCUGUGGUUGCGUGGGUGGUUGAAGUGCGUCUCUUUCUGUGUCACUGUGAUACAACUGUGUGGUGCCCCACACAAACAAGAG